CUCUUUCAUGGCGGUAGAAUUCCGGUGUCGCUCUCUUGCUGAGUCCCCGCUCGAACCCCACCUUCCCUGCGAUCCGACACCCUACAAAUCGUCGCAACGCGGCGCCCUUAUCGUCUCUUCUGAUUACCACCUGCGAGCUCUCCAAGCUCCGGAAGCGCCUCCCCUAUCCUCCUCUCCCUCCCCCUCUCCCGCCCUGUGGCUCCUCUCGGUCUUCUCUGCUUCGCUGGUGACAAUUACCAUCCGAUUACUGGCCACUGAUCGGAUUUUGGAGUUUCCUGGCGUCCGAACUCUGGAAAUUUCCGACCUUUUCUUCUUGGAAUCGCGCCCAGGUGUUCCUUUUCUGGUGGAUUUUUAGUCUUCCAGCCGUUUUGGUUAUCCGGACUGGAAAAAAGAUCAGAUCUUUGGAUGCUUCCUGCGAUAUGAGAUUGAGUUCUAUUCCAAAUUUAGCAUCUUGCUUUCCAGUAGCAUUUGCUGCAACUCCCACAGUUUCUUUUUCUUUGGCCGCUGGGCCCCGAUAUGUGAGCUCAAAUACACAGAAGUACAUCUCUCCUCCCAGGUUUUAAUAUCGUUUCGGUGUCUGUUUAUGGUGUGAGCGAGGUGAUAUCAGAGAUUGAGAUCUUGGGAAUCGAUUCGUGCCGCUUCGAAGAGCGUAGAUAUCGAAAGAGGGUGCUGAAAGAGUUGGGAUUCCAUGGCAUCGGAGACGGCAAACGAGGAGACAAAUAAAGGGAGCAUGUGGGAUUUGGAUCAGAACCUCGACCAACCCAUGGAUGAAGAGGCUGGCAGGCUUAAAAACAUGUACAGAGAAAAGAAAUUCUCAGCACUCUUAGUUUUACGGCUCGCAUUUCAGAGCCUUGGCGUGGUAUUUGGAGACCUGGGCACAUCACCACUGUAUGUCUUUUACAAUACAUUUCCUAACGGCGUGGAUGAUCCAGAGGAUGUUAUCGGAGCUCUUUCUUUGAUCAUAUACUCCCUUACUCUCAUCCCGCUCCUUAAAUAUGUUUUUGUAGUGUUGAGGGCAAAUGAUAAUGGUCAAGGUGGUACAUUUGCUCUUUAUUCACUGCUUUGCCGCCAUGCAAGGAUAAAUACUAUUCCCAACCAACACAGAACAGACGAAGAACUAACAACAUACAGUCGUCGAACUUAUGAUGAGAAUUCACUAGCUGCGAAAAUCAAGAGAUGGUUAGAGGCACAUUCUUAUAAAAAGAAUGCUCUUCUCAUUCUUGUCCUUAUUGGUACUUGUAUGGCAAUUGGAGAUGGGAUUCUUACUCCAGCUAUAUCAGUUCUUUCAGCAUCAGGUGGAAUAAAGGUCGACCAUCCCAACAUAAGUAAUGAUGUGGUUGUACUUGUUGCUGUGGUCAUAUUAGUUGGUUUAUUUAGCAUGCAACACUAUGGUACAGACAAAGUUGGAUGGCUUUUUGCUCCCAUCGUCCUCCUCUGGUUUUUAUUGAUUGGUGCUGUUGGUGCUCUGAACAUAUGGAAAUAUGAUAAUUCCGUUCUCAAGGCUUACAAUCCAGUUUAUAUAUAUCGGUAUUUUAAACGACAUAAUUUUAGUAAUUGGACCUCUCUUGGAGGAAUUCUUCUUAGUAUCACAGGGACAGAAGCAUUAUUUGCUGAUCUGUGUCACUUUCCCGUCCUAGCUGUUCAGAUUGCUUUCACUCUCAUUGUGUUCCCUUGUCUUCUUCUGGCAUACACUGGGCAAGCUGCUUAUAUAGUUAGCAACAAAGGGCAUGCAUUGGAUGCUUUUUAUCGUUCUAUUCCAGAUAGUAUAUACUGGCCAGCUUUUGUCAUUGCAACAGCAGCAGCAGUUGUUGCGAGUCAAGCCACCAUAUCUGCAACAUUUUCAAUAAUCAAACAAGCACUUGCACUUGGCUGUUUUCCAAGGGUCAAAGUUGUUCAUACAUCAAAAAAGUUCCUUGGUCAGAUAUAUAUACCAGAUAUUAAUUGGGUCCUUUUGGUUCUUUGCAUAGCUGUCACGGCUGGAUUCAAAAAUCAAAGUCAGAUUGGAAAUGCAUAUGGAACUGCUGUGGUGAUAGUUAUGCUGGUGACAACACUUCUUAUGAUCCCCAUAAUGCUGUUGGUAUGGCGGAGCCACUGGAUCCUUGUUGUCAUCUUCACUGGUCUUUCCUUGCUGGUAGAGCUCCCAUACUUUUCUGCAGUGCUCUUUAAGAUAGACCAAGGUGGUUGGGUCCCGCUUGUCAUCGCUGCUGCCUUCCUCCUCAUCAUGCAUAUAUGGCACUAUGGAACUGUGAAGCGGUAUGAGUUUGAGAUGCACAGUAAGGUCUCAAUGGCCUGGAUCUUGGGCCUUGGCCCCAGCCUUGGCCUGGUACGUGUCCCUGGUAUAGGCUUCGUGUACACAGAGCUGGCAAGUGGCGUUCCCCACAUCUUCUCCCACUUCAUCACCAACCUCCCUGCCAUCCACUCUGUUGUCGUCUUCGUCUGUGUCAAAUACCUCCCAGUCUACACAGUACCCAUGGAAGAAAGGUUUCUUGUAAAAAGGAUAGGUCCGAAGAAUUUCCACAUGUUCCGAUGUGUUGCAAGAUACGGAUACAAAGAUCUCCACAAGAAAGACGAUGAUUUUGAGAAGAUGCUCUUUGAUAGCCUCUCUCUUUUUGUUCGUCUUGAAAGUAUGAUGGAAGGAUACUCUGAUUCCGACGAGUACAGCUUAUGCAGGCAGCAGACAGAGAAAUCUAGUGAAUUCCUUCUUACUGAGAAUGGCAAUGGCAACAAAUUCUCCUCUAAUGUAGAGCGAGCUUACUCAUUAUCGGAUGAUUCUAUAGUACCUGCCCAAUCCCCACUACAUGGAAGCAGUUUGGUGAGGUCAUCAAGCCAGACGAUCCAGACAGUGGGGGAUGAAUUGGAAUACUUGAACAGGUGCAAGGAUGCUGGGGUGGUGCACAUUCUUGGGAACACAAUUGUGAGAGCUCAGAGGGAUUCAGGGAUUAUCAAAAGGAUAGCUGUUGAUUACAUUUAUGCAUUCCUUCGGAGGAUCUGCAGGGAAAACAGUGUGAUCUUUAAUCUUCCCCAUGAGAGCCUUCUGAAUGUGGGACAGAUAUUCUAUGUAUAGUUUAUCUAAUCGGGAAAAGGUGGUUAGAUGCAGUUGCAGUCUUCUGCUGUCUUUUCCUAAGACUUUUUCUCAAAUGUUGGAUCUUUACAAGAUGAAUGUAAAGGCACGGGGUUGAGCACCAGGCAGCUGUUGUUGCUCCCUAUCUCUUACAGAAAAGGAAGUGCUCUCCCAAAGUGGCUCGCUGGUUUGGACUAAUUGUGACAUAUGGUAUGUUUGGAGAUGUUUUGGUCAAUUGAGUGAAAAGCAUAUAGGGUCUUUGACUCCUUAGUUUCAUCAAAAGAAAGACAUUCAUGAUGUAUAAAAGAGUUGCUUGCAAUAUGAGAACAGGGAUCUUAACAAUUACAUAUGUUACAUAUGUGCCAUAGUGUUGAAAAGAGUUUGAAUUCUUUUAUCUUAUGAUUUGAAGGUAAGGAUAAAAUUGGAUCAGAUAAUAUCCAUCUGGAUCUAUUUUUGUAUCCGAAUAUGAAUAAAAAUUUAGCAUCCAACUAA